UACGGAGGGGGCUAGCGUUGUUCGGAAUUACUGGGCGUAAAGCGCGCGUAGGCGGCUUUGUAAGUUAGAGGUGAAAGCCCGGAGCUCAACUCCGGAAUUGCCUUUAAGACUGCAUCGCUAGAAUCAUGGAGAGGUGAGUGGAAAUUCCGAGUGUAGAGGUGAAAUUCGUAGAUAUUAGGAAGAACACCAGUGGCGAAGGCGGCUCACUGGUCCGGUACUGACGCUGAGGUGCGAAAGCGUGGGGAGCAAACAGG
rnacentral:rRNA from 1 species